CAUACAAACUUGUUCUUCAUCAUGAUUUACUUGUUUUUGUUUAUAUUUUGUAUGCAGUGGAAGUCGAUUUACAAGCAGGAGCAAAUCACAGAUACAAGCUUCUUUGGGUGAUUUUAAUUGGGUUAAUCUUUGCACUUGUGAUUCAAUCUCUUGCUGCAACUUUAGGAGUAUGCACAGGGAAGCAUCUAUCAGAAGUAUGCAAGGCUGAAUACCCAAUAUUUGUGAAGUAUUGCCUAUGGUUGCUUGCUGAGAUUGCAGUCAUUGCAGCGGAUAUUCCCGAAGGUAAAAUUUAACUUAUCUAUGAUGAGGUCAAUCACAUUGAAAGAAGUAUAAAAUAGGGGAAAGUAAAACAAUGAGUUUAAAAUUGUUGAAGCUUUAAAAAGAUUUAAUGGUUUGAAGUAGUAAAGCUACAGGAGAUG